rnacentral:rRNA from 1 species
AAGCGUGAGGUAAGAGCAUUUGGUGGAUGCCUAGGCAUACACAGGCGAUGAAGGACGUGGCACGCUGCGAUAAGCUACGGCGAGAUGUGAGCAAUCUUUGACCCGUAGAUUUCCGAAUGGGGAAACCCAUCCUCACCAUUUAAUUUCGAUAUUGUUCUGCAGUAUCGGAGUUAGGUGGGAAGGAUAUUACCAAAGUGAAUACAUAGCUUUGGUGAAGCGAACCCGGCGAACUGAAACAUCUAAGUACCCGGAGGAAAAGACAUCAACCGAGAUUCCGUUAGUAGUGGCGAGCGAACGCGGAGUAGGCCAGUACCUUUGAUUGCGUUAGCAGAAGUCUUUGGAAAGAGACACCAUAGUGGGUGACAGUCCCGUAUGUUAAAACAAUAUUGAAGGUCUUGAGUAGGGCGGGGCACGUGAAACCUUGUCUGAACAUGGGGGGACCACCCUCCAAGCCUAAAUACUCGUGUAUGACCGAUAGUGAACAAGUACCGUGAGGGAAAGGUGAAAAGAACCCCGAUUAGGGGAGUGAAACAGUUCCUGAAACCGAAUGCUUACAAGCAGUAGGAGGGUCUUUAAGGCCUGACUGCGUACCUCUUGCAUAAUGGGUCUGUGACUUAAUGUAUCAAGCAAGCUUAAGCCGAUAGGUGUAGGCGCAGCGAAAGCGAGUCUGAAUAGGGCGACUUAGUUUGAUGCAUUAGACCCGAAACCCGGCGAUCUAGGCAUGGUCAGGAUGAAGGUAAGGUAACACUUACUGGAGGUCCGAACCGAUUAACGUUGAAAAGUUAUCGGAUGAACUGUGUUUAGGGGUGAAAGGCCAAUCAAGCCGGGAAAUAGCUGGUUCUCCGCGAAAACUAUUGAGGUAGUGCCUCAUGUGAUGACCGUUGGGGGUAGAGCACUGGAUGGAUGCGGGGGUUUCGCGACCUACCAAAUCUAACCAAACUCCGAAUACCAACGAGUUUAACAUGGGAGACAGACGGCGGGUGCUAAGGUCCGUCGUCGAGAGGGAAACAGCCCUGACCUAACAGCUAAGGUCCCCAAGGUCAUGUCUAAGUGGGAAAGCUUGUGAAGACCCCAAAACAACCAGGAGGUUGGCUUAGAAGCAGCCAUCCUUUAAAGAAAGCGUAACAGCUCACUGGUCUAAAUAAGGGUCUUUGCGGCGAAGAUGUAACGGGGCUCAAGACAUGCACCGAAGCUUAGGAUUGUUACAUUAGUAACAGUGGUAGCGGAGCGUUCCGUAAGCCUGUGAAGCAGUCUGGUAAUGGACUGUGGAGGUAUCGGAAGUGCGAAUGCAGACAUGAGUAGCGAUAAAUAGGGUGAGAUGCCCUAUCGCCGAAAGUCCAAGGGUUCCUGCGCAAGGCUAAUCCGCGCAGGGUGAGUCGGCCCCUAAGACGAGCCCGAAGGGGGUAGUCGAUGGGAAACAGGUUAAUAUUCCUGUACCUGGAGAGAUGUGACGGAUCGUGUAAAUUGUAUGUCCUUAUCGGAUUGGACAUGCUCAUAAGCGGUUCCAGGAAAUAGCCUCUCCAUAUAGACCGUACCCUAAACCGACACAGGUGGACAGGUAGAGUAUACCAAGGCGCUUGAGAGAAGGGUGUUGAAGGAACUCGGCAAAUUGCCUCCGUACCUUCGGAAGAAGGAGGCCCUUAUUAUAGGCAACUAUUCUAAGGGGGCACAGGCCAGGGGGUAGCGACUGUUUAGCAAAAACACAGGGCUCUGCAAAGUCGGCUUCAAGACGACGUAUAGGGCCUGACGCCUGCCCGGUGCUGGAAGGUUAAGUGGAGGAGUGCAAGCUCUGAAAUGAAGCCCCAGUAAACGGCGGCCGUAACUAUAACGGUCCUAAGGUAGCGAAAUUCCUUGUCGGGUAAGUUCCGACCUGCACGAAUGGCGUAACGACUUCCCCACUGUCUCCAACACCUGCUCAGCGAAAAUUGAAUUCUCCGUGAAGAUGCGGAGUACCCGCGGUUAGACGGAAAGACCCCGUGCACCUUUACUGCAGCUUCAGAGUGGCAUUAGGAAAGAACUGUGUAGCAUAGGUGGGAGGCUUUGAAACUUGAGCGCCAGCUUGAGUGGAGCCAUAGGUGAAAUACCACCCUGUUGUUUUCUGAUGUCUAACCUAGAACCAUGAAACUGGUUCAGGGACCCUCUGUGGCGGGUAGUUUGACUGGGGCGGUCGCCUCCUAAAGAGUAACGGAGGCGCGCGAUGGUUGGCUCAGGCCGGUUGGAAACCGGCUGCAAGAGUGCAAUGGCAUAAGCCAGCCUGACUGUGAGACUGACAAGUCGAACAGAGACGAAAGUCGGUCAUAGUGAUCCGGUGGUCCCUCGUGGAAGGGCCAUCGCUCAACGGAUAAAAGGUACGCCGGGGAUAACAGGCUGAUAACCCCCAAGAGCUCAUAUCGACGGGGUUGUUUGGCACCUCGAUGUCGGCUCAUCACAUCCUGGGGCUGGAGCAGGUCCCAAGGGUUUGGCUGUUCGCCAAUUAAAGUGGUACGUGAGCUGGGUUCAGAACGUCGCGAGACAGUUUGGUCCCUAUCUGCCGUGGGCGUCGAUAUUUGAGAGGAGUUGCCCUUAGUACGAAAGGACCGGGGUGAACAUGCCUCUGGUGGACCUGUCGUGGCGCCAGCCGCGCAGCAAGGUAGCUAUGCAUGGACGGGAUAACCGCUGAAAGCAUCUAAGCGGGAAGCCUCCCUCAAGAUAAGAUAUCUCAGAGCCGUCGAAGACUACGACGUUGAUAGGCCAGAUGUGGAAGUGUGGUAACACAUGUAGCUAACUGGUCCUAAUUGCUCUAUUCACGCUUUU